AUUGAACGCUGGCGGCAGGCCUAACACAUGCAAGUCGAACGGUAACAGGAAGAAGCUUGCUUCUUUGCUGACGAGUGGCGGACGGGUGAGUAAUGUCUGGGAAACUGCCUGAUGGAGGGGGAUAACUACUGGAAACGGUAGCUAAUACCGCAUAAUGUCGCAAGACCAAAGAGGGGGACCUUCGGGCCUCUUGCCAUCGGAUGUGCCCAGAUGGGAUUAGCUAGUAGGUGGGGUAACGGCUCACCUAGGCGACGAUCCCUAGCUGGUCUGAGAGGAUGACCAGCCACACUGGAACGGAGACACGGUCCAGACUCCUACGGGAGGCAGCAGUGGGGAAUAUUGCACAAUGGGCGCAAGCCUGAUGCAGCUAUGCCGCGUGUAUGAAGAAGGCCUUCGGGUUGUAAAGUACUUUCAGCGGGGAGGAAGGGAGUAAAGUUAAUACCUUUGCUCAUUGACGUUACCCGCAGAAGAAGCACCGGCUAACUCCGUG
rnacentral:rRNA from 1 species